AUUGAACGCUGGCGGCAUGCCUUACACAUGCAAGUCGAACGGUAGCAGGUCUUCGGAUGCUGACGAGUGGCGAACGGGUGAGUAAUACAUCGGAACGUGCCUAGUCGUGGGGGAUAACUACUCGAAAGAGUGGCUAAUACCGCAUGAGAUCUACGGAUGAAAGCAGGGGAUCGCAAGACGUUGAGCUACUAGAGCGGCCGAUGGCAGAUUAGGUAGUAGGUGGGAUAAAAGCUUACCAAGCCGACGAUCUGUAGCCGGUCUGAGAGGACGAGCAGCCACACUGGGACUGAGACACGGCCCAGACUCCUACGGGAGGCAGCAGUGGGGAAUUUUGGACAAUGGGCGAAAGCCUGAUCCAGCAAUGCCGCGUGCAGGAUGAAGGCCUUCGGGUUGUAAACUGCUUUUGUACGGAACGAAAAGCCCCGGGUUAAUACCCUGGGGUCAUGACGGUACCGUAAGAAUAAGCACCGGCUAACUACGUGCCAGCCGCCGCCGUAA
rnacentral:rRNA from 1 species